rnacentral:rRNA from 1 species
AUUGAACGCUGGCGGCAUGCCUUACACAUGCAAGUCGAACGGCAGCACGGGUGCUUGCACCUGGUGGCGAGUGGCGAACGGGUGAGUAAUACAUCGGAACAUGUCCCGUAGUGGGGGAUAGCCCGGCGAAAGCCGGAUUAAUACCGCAUACGAUCUACGGAUGAAAGCGGGGGCCCUUCGGGCCUCGCGCUAUAGGGUUGGCCGAUGGCUGAUUAGCUAGUUGGUGGGGUAAAGGCCUACCAAGGCGACGAUCAGUAGCUGGUCUGAGAGGGCGACCAGCCACACUGGAACUGAGACACGGCCCAGACUCCUACGGGAGGCAGCAGUGGGGAAUUUUGGACAAUGGGCGAAAGCCUGAUCCAGCAAUGCCGCGUGUGUGAAGAAGGCCUUCGGGUUGUAAAGCACUUUUGUCCGGAAAGAAAACCUGGGCCCUAAUACGGUCGGGGGAUGACGGUACCGGAAGAAUAAGCACCGGCUAACUACGUG